rnacentral:rRNA from 1 species
UAUAUACCGUGAAACUGCGAAUGGCUCAUUAAAUCAGUUAUCGUUUAUUUGAUAGUACCUUACUACUUGGAUAACCGUGGUAAUUCUAGAGCUAAUACAUGCUAAAAACCUCGACUUCGGAAGGGGUGUAUUUAUUAGAUAAAAAACCAAUGCCCUUCGGGGCUCCUUGGUGAUUCAUAAUAACUUAACGAAUCGCAUGGCCUUGUGCCGGCGAUGGUUCAUUCAAAUUUCUGCCCUAUCAACUUUCGAUGGUAGGAUAGUGGCCUACCAUGGUUUCAACGGGUAACGGGGAAUUAGGGUUCUAUUCCGGAGAGGGAGCCUGAGAAACGGCUGCCACAUCCAAGGAAGGCAGCAGGCGCGCAAAUUACCCAAUCCCGACACGGGGAGGUAGUGACAAUAAAUACUGAUACAGGGCUCUUUUGGGUCUUGUAAUUGGAAUGAGUACAAUUUAAAUCCCUUAACGAGGAACAAUUGGAGGGCAAGUCUGGUGCCAGCAGCCGCGGUAAUUCCAGCUCCAAUAGCGUAUAUUAAAGUUGUUGCAGUUAAAAAGCUCGUAGUUGAACCUUGAGCCUGGCUGGCCGGUCCGCCUCACCGCGUGCACUGGUCCGGCCGGGUUUUUCCUUCUGGGGAGCCGCAUGCCCUUCACUGGGUGUGUCGGGGAACCAGGACUUUUACUUUGAAAAAAUUAGAGUGUUCAAAGCAGGCCUAUGCUCGAAUACAUUAGCAUGGAAUAAUAGAAUAGGACGUGUGGUUCUAUUUUGUUGGUUUCUAGGACCGCCGUAAUGAUUAAUAGGGAUAGUCGGGGGCAUCAGUAUUCAAUUGUCAGAGGUGAAAUUCUUGGAUUUAUUGAAGACUAACUACUGCGAAAGCAUUUGCCAAGGAUGUUUUCAUUAAUCAGUGAACGAAAGUUAGGGGAUCGAAGACGAUCAGAUACCGUCGUAGUCUUAACCAUAAACUAUGCCGACUAGGGAUCGGGCGAUGUUAUUUUUUUGACUCGCUCGGCACCUUACGAGAAAUCAAAGU